GGGCCAGUGGCGCAAUGGAUAACUUGUCUGACUUCAGAUCAGAAGACUAUAGGUUCGACUUCUAUCUUGCUCA
rnacentral:tRNA from 1 species